rnacentral:rRNA from 1 species
UACGUAGGGGGCAAGCGUUGUCCGGAAUCAUUGGGCGUAAAGAGCGUGUAGGCGGCUCGGUAAGUCCGCUGUAAAAGUCCAGGGCUCAACCCUGGAAAGCCGGUGGAAACUGUCGAGCUAGAGUCCGGAAGAGGCGAGUGGAAUUCCUGGUGUAGCGGUGAAAUGCGCAGAUAUCAGGAGGAACACCAAUGGCGAAGGCAGCCCGCUGGGACGGUACUGACGCUGAGACGCGAAAGCGUGGGGAGCAAACAGG